AGCAGCCGCGGUAAUUCCAGCUCCAAUAGCGUAUACUAAAGUUGUUGCAGUUAAAAAGCUCGUAGUUGAAUUUCGGUGGCCCAACGGCGGUCGGCCGCAAGGUCUGUACUGCCGGUCUUCGGACCACCUCUUUCUGGGGGAACGUCGGCCCUUAACUGGGCACGGCGGCCGAACCAGGACGUUUACUUUGAAAAAAU
rnacentral:rRNA from 1 species